rnacentral:rRNA from 1 species
CACGUAGGGCGCAAGCGUUGUCCGGAAUUAUUGGGCGUAAAGGGCUCGUAGGCGGUUUGUCGCGUCUGCUGUGAAAACCUAAGGCUCAACCUUGGGCUUGCAGUGGGUACGGGCAGACUAGAGUGCGGUAGGGGUGACUGGAAUUCCUGGUGUAGCGGUGGAAUGCGCAGAUAUCAGGAGGAACACCGAUGGCGAAGGCAGAUCUCUGGGCCGUAACUGACGCUGGAGGAGCGAAAAGCAUGGGGGAGCAAAACAGG